rnacentral:rRNA from 1 species
CCCUUAGAUGUCCUGGGCCGCACGCGCGUUACACUGAUGCAUUCAACGAGCUUAUAACCUUGGCCGAGAGGCCUGGGCAAUCUUGUUAACGUGCAUCGUGAUAGGGAUAGAUUAUUGAAAUUAUUAAUCUUGAACGAGGAAUUCCUAGUAAACGCAGAUCAUCAAUCUGCAUUGAUUACGUCCCUGCCCUUUGUACACACCGCCCGUCGCACCUACCGAUUGAGUGAUCCGGUGAAUAAUUCGGACUGCAGCACUGCUUGGUCUCCAGGCUUUGCAGCGGAAAGUUUAGUGAACCUUAUCACUUAGAGGAAGGAGAAGUCGUAACA